rnacentral:lncRNA from 1 species
AGUUCUCAACUUGUCAAAUGAUCUCGGAGACUAUAGCAAGGUUGAACUGAAGAUCUGCUUAACUGAUUCCCUGGCUUAGUUCCAGCAUGUGCAAUGAUGCAGUUCUGAAGUGCCAAGUGCUUAAUCAUUAAGCUUGCUCUGGGACAAAAACAUUUUACAAGUUCCACUACACAAAAGGCCCUUGCAAGACACCAGUACCUUGAUAUUUGACUUCCAGUCUCCAGAACUUGGAACCUGAACAGUCUGCUGAAGCACCUGAUGUUUGGCCUUCCUGAAUGUCAUGUAAUACGUACUUCACCAUCAAUUCAUACAGCAGAUAUCAUCAUACACAGUCCAGGUAUGAAGAUCUGGGCUCAGAGAGACUAAGUAAGUGAAUUGCCUGAAGACACAUUGUUGAGCUCUGUGUCUUCUUGACUAACACAUGAGGCCACCUCCUGGGGCUGUUUGAACUGUUUCUGCUGAUAGGGGAGGGCAUUUCUCCAGCCCUGCUUCUAGACUCCCUCUUAAUCUUCAGAUGGCCUCUCACCCAGUUGCAUGUUGAGUUAUCCUUUCAAAAGUGUACAUGCUUUCUCUGUGGAAGCUGUGGCAAAUUUCCAGACUUGGCAUCAGGUGGCUUUUGAUGAUUCUCAAAGAUAAUAUUCAUCUAACAUGAAUACAUUUUACUGCUCCUGGGGACACCUAUAAGAAUGCCCCACUGUGGCCGGGCACAGUGUCACGCCUAUAAUUCCAGCAC